UAGUUCAGCUGGUUAGAAUGCCGCCCUGUCACGGCGGAGGUCGCGGGUUCGAGCCCCGU
rnacentral:tRNA from 1 species